UCGGCGGCUACAGGUUGUGAGGGUCAGGGAAACCAAAUAUUUUUUUUUUCCCUUCUUAAUGCAAUCAUAUUCUCUUAAACAUGGCUUGAACAAAUCAUCUCUCAAAACGUAGAAUUUAUUUCUCAACUUUGCCUGGAGGUACAGUGGAGAGAACAGAUUUUUUUCCUCUCUCUGGCCCUUUGAGUCCUGACCAUGCAGAAUGGAUGGCUUUAGAACUGUACACGGACAGGAAAAUCAAUGCGUCAUACCAGGAGGCUUCAGGGGUUAGGUUCCCAUGUCCAUGUCAACAAGGCUAUUGGUUUUUUUAAUGCUCCAAAGUUAUCACUUCCCGCCUGCAAGAGCCACCACUGUGACUUGUGUGGUCAAACCUUAACAAAAGAAUUUCCCUUUGCCCACCGCGCGGUGGCACGGAAUUUAAUUACUGCGUAGGGAGAAUUUUUCCACGUAUGACAAUCGAAAACAGGCAGGCAGGCCCCCAACAGGCCGCCGUUCCCAGGACACCUGGCUGGGGUGUUGCGGAGGGGGGUGCGGGAUCUUGCUGGGGGGCCCGCACACCACGGCUGCAGGUGGCCUCCGCAUUCCCGCGUGACGGCCGAGGAGCCCGGGGGUCCCUGCCGUCUCUGGGGGCUCUGGGGAUGCAGCUUGCUGAGAACGGGGACCCCCGGCCUCCUCUGGGCGGGUCAUCUCGGUGCCCGUUGGGAUUUGGGGUGCAGGGAGUGGGGGCCGUGUCCGUUGUCUCCUGCCUGAAAUGCCACUGUUCCGGGAAGGCGGCUUCGAUUCGUCAGUGGAAUCACGCGCCACCAGGUGAGACGCGGCCCUCCUUCGCCCGGGGGGUCCCCCCUGUACAUCUGGCACCCACCUCACAGGUGAACCUUCCCGCUCCUCGAUGA
rnacentral:lncRNA from 12 species